rnacentral:misc_RNA from 1 species
AAGUCGUAACAAGGUAACCGUAGGUGAACCUGCGGUUGGAUCAUUAACAAAUUUAAAGAACAGCUGAGAGUAAGCAGCAAUGCCCUCUCACUGAUCUCAACAUUAUGUGAACUCUUUAUUGUAUCUUGGUAUUAGUGGCUCUUCGGGGUCACUUUGCCGAAAUUAAACUUCUAGUAUAAAAAUUUGUCUUGAAUUAAAUUAUAUCUAAUUUAAACAACUUUUGACAACGGAUCUCUAGGCUCUC